GAGAUAGUGUGUCGGCCACGACAUUAGU
rnacentral:sRNA from 1 species